rnacentral:tRNA from 1 species
GCGCCCGUAGCUCAGCUGGAUAGAGCACCAGCUUGCGGAACUGGGGUCGCACCUUCGAGUCGUGCCGGGCGCGCCA